rnacentral:rRNA from 1 species
AUUGCCUCAGUAACGGCGAGUGAAGCGGCAACAGCUCAAAUUUGAAAUCUGGCUCACGCCCGAGUUGUAAUUUGUAGAGGAUGUUUCGGGUGAAGCCACGGUCCAAGUCCCUUGGAACAGGACGUCAUAGAGGGUGAGAACCCCGUACCUGGCCGUCGGUGCCCCCCGCUGUGAAACUCCUUCGACGAGUCGAGUUGUUUGGGAAUGCAGCUCUAAAUUGGUGGUAAAUUCCAUCUAAAGCUAAAUACCGGCCAGAGACCGAUAGCGCACAAGUAGAGUGAUCGAAAGAUGAAAAGCACUUUGAAAAGAGAGUUAAAAAGUACGUGAAAUUGUUGAAAGGGAAGCGCUUGCGGCCAGACUUGCCCGCGGUUGCUCAGCCCGCCUUUUGGCGGGUGCACUCUUCCGCGGUCAGGCCAGCAUCGGUUUGGGCGGUCGGAUAAAGGCGCUGGGAACGUGGCCUCCCCUCGGGGAGGUGUUAUAGCCCGGCGUGCAAUGCGACCAGCCCGGACCGAGGUUCGCGCUUUGCUAGGAUGCUGGCGUAAUGGCCGUAAGCGGCCCGUCUUGAAACACGGACCAAGGAGUCUAACAUCUAUGCGAGUGUUUGGGUGUCAAACCCGUGCGCGUAAUGAAAGUGAACGGAGGUGGGAACCGCAAGGUGCACCAUCGACCGAUCCUGAUGUCUUCGGAAGGAUUUGAGUAAGAGCAUAGCUGUUGGGACCCGAAAGAUGGUGAACUAUGCGUGAAUAGGGUGAAGCCAGAGGAAACUCUGGUGGAGGCUCGCAGCGGUUCUGACGUGCAAAUCGAUCGUCAAAUUUGCGUAUAGGGGCGAAAGACU